GGGCCGGUAGCUCAGCCUGGUUAGAGCGCACGCCUGAUAAGCGUGAGGUCGUUGGUUCAACUCCAACCCGGCCCA
rnacentral:tRNA from 1 species